GCUUCCCCCAUAUAACCCAAAGAUUGGAUCUUUAUCUCUUGCGGCUGAAACCUACCGAUACUCUCUCUCUUCCCCAAAACCCCAUAUUUGGGGAUCUGGCCGACACAUACUAUCUUACCGAUUCUAAUUCUCGAUUUUUCGUUUCAAUUCGUUGAUUUCUUUUGGGUUUAUUGAAUCCGAUCUUAUGAAGUCUAUUCUAUCCUGGUUUUUUGAAUCCUAUUCUUAAUUUUAUGAAAGAAAUCCAUGUGAGAGAUAAUAAAGGUAGAGCGACUUAUUCAGUUUAUUGAAUCGGGUGAUUGUUGAUUCGUGUAUAUAUAAUAUGUUAUUUUCAGUAGACUUUGAUUCAGAAUUCGUACCUACACAGCGGAGGCGGGUAACUUUUAAAGAGAUGACCGUGUAAGGAAUCGUGGGCGGUCCAUAUUCUUGGCGGGUGGUGGUGGGAGGGAGUUUGGUGGGUCCGUUAAGUGGCUUCAGGUCCGGCGGUUCUGAUGGAGGCCCGACUCCUUCCAAGUAGAUCCGGUAGUCAGCCUGAUUGCAGGGAAGUAGAGAGAAAGCACUCAUGUUUGGUGCAAUUAACUAAGGCUUGCAGAUGGACAAUUUAUAAAAUCUUUGGAAUGGACACUGAAUAUUGUGUUGAUUUUUCAAUGGAUGCCUAUUAGUAGGUCUUCAAUGUUUUUUUAGUUGUUUCAUUUAAAUAGGCAAUACUUUUAUAUUAGGUUGCAUUGGGGAAACAAGAUUGGUUAGAUAUAGCCUUACGAAAUAUAGUAGUGAUGAGAUAGACCACACUUUCAAGGGAUUGAUGUUUGGAGAGGGUGCUUUCUGGAUCACAUGCCCAUGUUUUUUUGGAUCACAGCACCCUUAUUCCUUUGGUGGUGUCUUUGGAGGGUGCAGAACAGAAAAUCCUUUGAUGGAGGGGAAUAUUUGAUUGGGGCCUUAAAAUCUCUAUUAAUUAGCUCUCUUUUUUUUUUAGGUUAUGGAGAGAUAUUGUACAACUAUAGAAGAGAGAAAUCAUAAGGCUCUUAAUGAUAUUAAGAACAAGUCAUCCCUUCAUCCUGAAAAAUCAUCAAGGAAAAAGAACUAACCUAAAGAGGAGCCCAAUAUAUUGCUGGUUUCUGCAUGAUCACAAGAAAUGCAUUGAGGCGCGACUAACAACAACGAGACCUUGUUUCUUGGACAGGCUACUUCCAGGACAUGGGACUGAUGUUGAUAGCCCUCGCUGCUACUCUACUGGAGAUGUCCAUGCCUUGUGAUACAAACGUAUCUUGUUUGUGUCAAAAUAUGUUGUCUUAGCAGUUUUAAGUAUGUCAAAAUAUGUUCUCCUAGGCAACAUUAGUGAAUACCAUGAUUAUUGACAGUAAAAGUUUUAAUAUGCCGAAGUACGUUGUCCUAGCAGGUUUAUGGAGUUUAGUAUGUCAGUCAAAAUAUGUUUCUUGUAGUAUUCAAUCAUGAUUUUUAAAAAGGUUAUCAAUCAAUACAAAUAUACCUGGUGUAUAGACUUCUUAGUCGACGGAUUUUAUUUCCUUUGA